rnacentral:rRNA from 1 species
CGGCAGGCUUAACACGAUGCAAGUCGAACGCUGUAGCGAAUACAGAGUGGCAGACGGGUGAGUAACGCUGGGAACGUGCCCUCGGUUCGGAAUAACUCAGGGAAACUUGAGCUAAUACCGGAUACGUGCGAGAGCAGAAAGAUUUAUCGCCGAAGGAUCGGCCCGCGUCCGAUUAGCUAGUUGGUGGGGUAAUGGCUCACCAAGGCGACGAUCGGUAGCUGGUCUGAGAGGAUGAUCAGCCACACUGGGACUGAGACACGGCCCAGACUCCUACGGGAGGCAGCAGUGGGGAAUAUUGGACAAUGGGCGAAAGCCUGAUCCCAGCCAUGCCGCGUGAGUGAUGAAGGCCUUAGGGUUGUAAAGCUCUUUCGCCAGGGACGAUAAUGACGGUACCUGGAUAAGAAGCCCCGGCUAACUUCGUGCCAGCCGCGGC